UACGGAGGGGGGCUAGCGUUGUUCGGAAUUACUGGGCGUAAAGCGCACGUAGGCGGCUUUGUAAGUUAGAGGUGAAAGCCCGGAGCUCAACUCCGGAAUUGCCUUUAAGACUGCAUCGCUUGAAUCAUGGAGAGGUGAGUGGAAUUCCCAGUGUAGAGGUGAAAUUCGUAGAUAUUGGGAAGAACACCGGUGGCGAAGGCGG
rnacentral:rRNA from 1 species